GGGUUGGCUUGAAACCAGCUUUGGGGGGUUCGAUUCCUUCCUU
rnacentral:tRNA from 1 species